GAUGAACGCUGGCGGCGUGCCUAAUACAUGCAAGUCGAGCGAACGGACGAGGAGCUUGCUUCUCUGACGUUAGCGGCGGACGGGUGAGUAACACGUGGAUAACCUACCUAUAAGACUGGGAUAACUUCGGGAAACCGGAGCUAAUACCGGAUAAUAUUUUGAACCGCAUGGUUCAAUAGUGAAAGACGGCGUUGCUGUCACUUAUAGAUGGAUCUGCGCUGCAUUAGCUAGUUGGUAAGGUAACGGCUUACCAAGGCAACGAUGCAUAGCCGACCUGAGAGGGUGAUCGGCCACACUGGAACUGAGACACGGUCCAGACUCCUACGGGAGGCAGCAGUAGGGAAUCUUCCGCAAUGGGCGAAAGCCUGACGGAGCAACGCCGCGUGAGUGAUGAAGGUCUUCGGAUCGUAAAACUCUGUUAUUAGGGAAGAACAUAUGUGUAAGUAACUGUGCACAUCUUGACGGUACCUAAUCAGAAAGCCACGGCUAACUACGUG
rnacentral:rRNA from 1 species